UGAGAGGGUGACCGGCCACACUGGGACUGAGAUACGGGAGACACCUACGGGAGGCAGCAGUGGGGAAUAUUGCACAAUGGGCGAAAGCCUGAUGCAGCGACGCCGCGUGAGGGAUGACGGCCUUCGGGUUGUAAACCUCUUUCACCAUGGACGAAGCGCAAGUGACGGUACCUGUGGAAGAAGGACCGGCCAACUACGUGCCAGCAGCCGCGGUAAUACGUAGGGUGCGAGCGUUGUCCGGAAUUACUGGGCGAAAGAGCUCGUAGGUGGUUUGUCGCGUUGUUCGUGAAAACUCACAGCUUAACUGUGGGCGUGCGGGCGAUACGGGCAGACUAGAGUACUGCAGGGGAGACUGGAAUUCCU
rnacentral:rRNA from 1 species